AAUCAACGCUGGCGGCGUGCCUAACACAUGCAAGUCGAACGCGAAAGCCCCGCAAGGGGUGAGUAGAGUGGCAAACGGGUGAGUAACACGUGGGUGACCUGCCUUCGAGUGGGGGAUAACGUCCCGAAAGGGACGCUAAUACCGCAUAACAUCCUGCCUUUUAAGAGGUGGACAUCAAAGCUGGGGAUCGCAAGACCUAGCGCUUGAAGAGGGGCCCGCGCCUGAUUAGCUAGNGGUGGGGUAAUGGCUCACCAAGGCAACGAUCAGUAUCCGGCCUGAGAGGGCGGACGGACACACUGGGACUGAGACACGGCCCAAACUCCUACGGAGGCAGCAGUGGGGAAUAUUGGACAAUGGGCGCAAGCCUGAUCCAGCCAUGCCGCGUGAGUGAUGAAGGCCCUAGGGUUAGUAAAGCUCUUUUACCCCGGGAAGAUAAUGACUGUACCGGGAGAAUAACGCCCGGCUAACUUCGUGCCAGCCGCGC
rnacentral:rRNA from 1 species